rnacentral:ncRNA from 10 species
CAAAAUCAUCAGGAGCGAUUUCCAGAUGGAAAUCCACCAACCGGCCCAAUUGGGAACGGUGGUUAGGUCAAAUAAUGACAGAUGUGCCCUUUAGGGAAACUCUGAACCGCCU